CACAAGCGGUGGAGCAUUGUGGUUUAAUUCGAAGCAACGCGAAGAACCUUUACCAGGUCUUGACAUCCCGAUGCUAUUUCUAGAGAUAGAAAGUUACUUCGGUACAUCGGUGACAGGUGGUGCAUGGUUGUCGUCAGCUCGUGUCGUGAGAUGUUGGGUUAAGUCCCGCAACGAGCGCAACCCCUAUUGUUAGUUGCCAUCAUUCAGUUGGGCACUCUAGCGAGACUGCCGGUAAUAAACCGGAGGAAGGUGGGGAUGACGUCAAAUCAUCAUGCCCCUUAUGACCUGGGCUACACACGUGCUACAAUGGUUGGUACAACGAGUUGCGAGUCGGUGACGGCGAGCUAAUCUCUUAAAGCCAAUCUCAGUUCGGAUUGUAGGCUGCAACUCGCCUACAUGAAGUCGGAAUCGCUAGUAAUCGCGGAUCAGCACGCCGCGGUGAAUACGUUCCCGGGCCUU
rnacentral:rRNA from 1 species